rnacentral:misc_RNA from 1 species
GAUGAAGAACGUAGCGAAAUGCGAUACUUGGUGUGAAUUGCAGAAUCCCGUGAACCAUCGAGUCUUUGAACGCAAGUUGCGCCCGAAGCCAUUAGGCCGAGGGCACGCCUGCCUGGGCGUCACACGUCGUUGCCCCCCCAUCUACUCCUUCGGGAUUGCGGGGGGCGGAUGGUGGCCUCCCGUGCGCCUCGUCGCGCGGUUGGCAUAAAUGCCAAGUCCUCGGCGACGCACGCCACGACAAUCGGUGGUUGCGAAACCUCGGUUGCCCGUCGUGUGCGGUCGUCGCGCAUCGAGGGCUCGAAAAAAUUGCCGGGCUCCGGCUCGGCUUUCAACGCGACCCCAGGUCAGGCGGGGUUACCCGCUGAAUUUAAGCAUAUCAAUAAGCGGAGGA